ACCAGCAGAGAUAACACGUCAAAUGUACCAAUGUACCGGUUCCCCAUGGAUCAUUGAAGUUAAGCAACAAUGCGCCCAGUUGGUAUUCUGACGGGUGACCAUCUGGGCAAUCACGUGCUGCUGGGU
rnacentral:rRNA from 1 species